rnacentral:rRNA from 1 species
AGCGAACGCUGGCGGCAGGCUUAACACAUGCAAGUCGAGCGCCCCGCAAGGGGAGCGGCAGACGGGAGAGUAACACGUGGGAACAUACCUUUUGGUUCGGAACAACUGAGGGACACUUCAGCUAAUACCGGAUAAGCCCUUACGGGGAAAGAUUUAUCGCCUAAAGAUUGGCCCGCGUCUGAUUAGCUAGUUGGUGAGGUAACGGCUCACCAAGGCGACGAUCAGUAGCUGGUCUGAGAGGAUGAUCAGCCUCACUGGGACUGAGACACGGCCCAGACUCCUACGGGAGGCAGCAGUGGGGAAUAUUGGACAAUGGGGGCAACCCUGAUCCAGCCAUGCCGCGUGAGUGAUGAAGGCCUUAGGGUUGUAAAGCUCUUUUGCCCGGGAAGAUAAUGACGGUACCGGGAGAAUAAGCCCCGGCUAACUUCGUG